rnacentral:rRNA from 1 species
UGGCUCAGGACGAACGCUGGCGGCGUGCCUAAUACAUGCAAGUCGAACGAAGCUUUCUUUCACCGAAUGCUUGCAUUCACCGAAAGAAGCUUAGUGGCGAACGGGUGAGUAACACGUAGGCAACCUGCCCAAAAGAGGGGGAUAACACUUGGAAACAGGUGCUAAUACCGCAUAACCAUGAACACCGCAUGAUGUUCAUGUAAAAGACGGCUUUUGCUGUCACUUUUGGAUGGGCCUGCGGCGUAUUAACUUGUUGGUGGGGUAACGGCCUACCAAGGUGAUGAUACGUAGCCGAACUGAGAGGUUGAUCGGCCACAUUGGGACUGAGACACGGCCCAAACUCCUACGGGAGGCAGCAGUAGGGAAUCUUCCACAAUGGACGAAAGUCUGAUGGAGCAACGCCGCGUGAAUGAAGAAGGCCUUCGGGUCGUAAAAUUCUGUUGUCAGAGAAGAACGUGCGUGAGAGUAACUGUUCACGUAUUGACGGUAUCUGACCAGAAAGCCACGGCUAACUACGUGCCAGCAGCCGCGGUAAUACGUAGGUGGCGAGCGUUGUCCGGAUUUAUUGGGCGUAAAGGGAACGCAGGCGGUCUUUUAAGUCUGAUGUGAAAGCCUUCGGCUUAACCGAAGUAGUGCAUUGGAAACUGGAAGACUUGAGUGCAGAAGAGGAGAGUGGAACUCCAUGUGUAGCGGUGAAAUGCGUAGAUAUAUGGAAGAACACCAGUGGCGAAAGCGGCUCUCUGGUCUGUAACUGACGCUGAGGUUCGAAAGCGUGGGUAGCAAACAGGAUUAGAUACCCUGGUAGUCCACGCCGUAAACGAUGAGUGCUAAGUGUUGGAGGGUUUCCGCCCUUCAGUGCUGCAGCUAACGCAUUAAGCACUCCGCCUGGGGAGUACGGUCGCAAGACUGAAACUCAAAGGAAUUGACGGGGGCCCGCACAAGCGGUGGAGCAUGUGGUUUAAUUCGAAGCAACGCGAAGAACCUUACCAGGUCUUGACAUCUUCUGACAAUUCCAGAGAUGGAACGUUCCCUUCGGGGACAGAAUGACAGGUGGUGCAUGGUUGUCGUCAGCUCGUGUCGUGAGAUGUUGGGUUAAGUCCCGCAACGAGCGCAACCCCUGUCGUUAGUUGCCAGCAUUCAGUUGGGGACUCUAACGAGACUGCCAGUGACAAACUGGAGGAAGGUGGGGAUGACGUCAAAUCAUCAUGCCCCUUAUGACCUGGGCUACACACGUGCUACAAUGGACGGUACAACGAGUCGCUAACUCGCGAGGGCAAGCUAAUCUCUUAAAGCCGUUCUCAGUUCGGAUUGCAGGCUGCAACUCGCCUGCAUGAAGUCGGAAUCGCUAGUAAUCGCGAAUCAGCAUGUCGCGGUGAAUACGUUCCCGGGCCUUGUACACACCGCCCGUCACACCAUGAGAGUUUGUAACACCCAAAGUCGGUGGGGUAACCUUUUGGAGCCAGCCGCCUAAGGUGGGACAGAUGAUUGGGGUGAAGUCGUAACAAGGUAGCCGUA